AAAUNCCGGACGGACCGAANACGUGAAAAUGCCUCCGNAAGAGGUGGACUCAUUUAUGUGGUAACGUGCGCCUACGUGUYUGCAUGAACGAAACUUAUCACAUGGUUUUGGUGCCCCCCAAAAGUGUGUGAUAUGUGAGCAAAAAAUUCUCAGACUUCUUGGUGCGAGGGUGCGCUUAGGUAUAGUAGGGAGAGCUGUACGUCUUCCAAGUGCUUGAGAAAAUGAUGUUCGCCCGUACGAGUAACGUUGGUUUAGACUCAUUUUCGAGGUAUUCGAGCGUAUUACCUAGGCCGCGGUGCGGCCAGACCGUGCCACUUAGUCGGCCGCGGCUGACCACACCUUGGUCGCAGCUACGGGGGUAAGGUGUUGGGGCUGGCUGCAGCCGGCUAUUGGAGGCCUUUGGCUGGCCGAGGCUGGCUACUGCUUAGAUCUGGCUGGCCGGGGCGUGUUGCGACUGCUCGGUGCUUGGCUACAGCCGGCCAUUGCUGGCUGUGGACGUGCUGUGACUGGCUGGUGCUUGGAUAGGUCUCGUGCGGAAG
rnacentral:misc_RNA from 1 species